GUGGUUUUGUGUCUUAGGAGACUUAUAAAUUCAGUAAGGCCUAAAUUAACUUGUCAUACUGAAUUCCAGGCACAGUGUAAAAUUAUUUCAUGUCCAGGAAAGUUAAAAUAUUCUGUUUAAAUAUUCUUCACAAAUCUCUCUGAUGUCUCUUGAAAUUCCAUAGGAGGAAAAGCUCAGUUCCAAGACCCUCAGGGAGGCUGAACACCUGCGUCUGGAAGUUAGUCUGCUGUUAUGAAAAGGUUAAUGUGGAAUCAAGCCUGCUCAAGCAGAAAAAGGAUAUGAAGCUGGAACUCCCACAUCCCAACAGUACGUCCUCCUUGGACUUCCCAUGCACAUGUUCCUUUCUCUACCCUGUCAACCUAAUCUACCAGCUCCUCUGCAGAAUACUCCUUCUAGCUUUGCCUGCAGAUAUCGGGCAAAGGAAUUGUCUAAGCAUUUCUGCACUCAAAGAAAAAAGUCAACAAACUCCUGGCUUUUUGCCAAAACAGAGGCAUUCUAGAAAGAUUUUCAUCUGAGAUACUGCAGUAGCAGCAUUUGCUUUUGUGAAUGGAAGCUACUAUUUCUAACUAUGAAGCAGUUCCCAUCAGUCUGUACUUUAAGGACAUUUUAAAAACGUUCCCCAUUCACCACCUUCACAAAAUUCUUCUAUUUUUCAAUAAUUAAAGCAACGUAUUUCUCAACGACCUGAAUAAUAUACUAGCAAUGAAUAAAUCAUUUGACCCAAAGGCCA
rnacentral:lncRNA from 1 species